rnacentral:sRNA from 1 species
GUGGCAUUAGUGUUGGAACAAGAUCCACUUGCAUGGAAGAUUAAUUCUCUACUUGAAUUUGGUUCUGCUAUAUAUGCAGGAGUUAUGGGAUCUGCAAUAACAUUCUUUAUCCAAGCAUGGUGCAUCUCACUCACAGGUCCUCUUUUCAGUGCAAUGUUCAAUCCUCUUACGGUAGUGAUUGUCACCAUAUUGGCUCCUUUAUUACUACAUGAGGAAGUAUACUUUGGAAGCUUGAUUGGGUCAAUAGCAGUGAUAAUUGGGUUAUACAUUGUGCUAUGGGGUAAAGCUGAAGAAGUUGCGGUGGUGAAUGUUAAGACAGAUUCAGAAUCAAUGCGUA